UACAGAGGUCCCAAGCGUUGUUCGGAUUCACUGGGCGUAAAGGGCGCGUAGGCGGCCUGUUAAGUCGAACGUGAAAUCCCCGGGCUCAACCCGGGAACUGCGUCCGAUACUGGCAGGCUUGAAUUCGGGAGAGGGAUGUGGAAUUCCAGGUGUAGCGGUGAAAUGCGCAGAUAUCAGGAGGAACACCGGUGGCGAAGGCAGGUCUCUGGGCCACUACUGACGCUGAGAAGCGAAAGCAUGGGGAGCGAACAGG
rnacentral:rRNA from 1 species